UACGUAGGGUGCGAGCGUUGUCCGGAAUUAUUGGGCGUAAAGAGCUUGUAGGCGGUUUGUCGCGUCUGCUGUGAAAAUCCGGGGCUCAACCCCGGACUUGCAGUGGGUACGGGCAGACUAGAGUGUGGUAGGGGAGACUGGAAUUCCUGGUGUAGCGGUGAAAUGCGCAGAUAUCAGGAGGAACACCGGUGGCGAAGGCGCUGCUCUGGGCCGAAACUGACGCUGAGGAGCGAAAGCGUGGGUAGCAAACAGG
rnacentral:rRNA from 1 species